rnacentral:rRNA from 1 species
CGCCCGCCGCGCGCGGCGGGCGGGGCGGGGGCACGGGGGGGCGAARAAGUAUUUCGGUAUGUAAAGCUCUAUCAGCAGGGAAGAUAAUGACGGUACCUGACUAAGAAGCMCCGGCUAAAUACGUGCCAGCAGCCGCGGUAAUACGUAUGGUGCAAGCGUUAUCCGGAUUUACUGGGUGUAAAGGGAGCGUAGGCGGUUUUACAAGUCUGAUGUGAAAGCCCGGGGCUCAACUCCGGUAUUGCAUUGGAAACUGUAGAACUAGAGUGUCGGAGGGGUAAGUGGAAUUCCUAGUGUARCGGUGAAAUGCGUARAUAUUAGGAGGAACACCAGUGGCGAAGGCGGCUUACUGGACGAUUACUGACGCUGAGGCUCGAAAGCGUGGGGAGCAAACAGGAUUAGAUACCCUGGKAGUCCACGCCGUAAACGAUGAAUACUAGGUGUUGG